AGAGUUUGAUCCUGGCUCAGGAUGAACGCUAGCGGCAGGCUUAACACAUGCAAGUCGAGGGGUAGUUCCGAUUUCGAUCGGGAACGACCGGCGCACGGGUGAGUAACGCGUAUGCAACCUACCUCUAUCAGGGGCAUAGCUCUCGGAAACGGGAAUUAAUACCCCAUAAUAUCAUAGAUACGCAUGUAUUUAUGAUUAAAGCUCCGGCGGAUAGAGAUGGGCAUGCGUGCCAUUAGCUUGUUGGUAAGGUAACGGCUUACCAAGGCUACGAUGGCUAGGGGGUCUGAGAGGAUGGUCCCCCACACUGGUACUGAGACACGGACCAGACUCCUACGGGAGGCAGCAGUGAGGAAUAUUGGGCAAUGGACGCAAGUCUGACCCAGCCAUGCCGCGUGCAGGAUGAAUGCCCUAUGGGUUGUAAACUGCUUUUCUGCAGGAAGAAACACUCGAUCGUGAUCGGGUUUGACGGUACUGUAGGAAUAAGCAUCGGCUAACUCCGUGCCAGCAGCCGCGGUAAUACGGAGGAUGCAAGCGUUAUCCGGAUUUAUUGGGUUUAAAGGGUGCGUAGGCGGAAAUAUAAGUCAGUGGUGAAAUCCUGCAGCUUAACUGUAGAACUGCCAUUGAUACUGUUUUUCUUGAGUAUAGUUGAGGUGGGCGGAAUGUGUAAUGUAGCGGUGAAAUGCUUAGAUAUUACACAGAACACCAAUUGCGUAGGCAGCUCACUAAGCUAUUACUGACGCUGAGGCACGAAAGCGUGGGGAGCGAACAGGAUUAGAUACCCUGGUAGUCCACGCUGUAAACUAUGAUCACUCGUUGUUGGCGAUACAUUGUCAGCGACCAAGCAAAAGCAUUAAGUGAUCCACCUGGGGAGUACGGUCGCAAGAUUGAAACUCAAAGGAAUUGACGGGGGCCCGCACAAGCGGUGGAACAUGUGGUUUAAUUCGAUGAUACGCGAGGAACCUUACCUGGGCUUAAAUGCAGAACGACGUCCCGAGAAAUCGGGAUUUCUUCGGACGGACUGCAAGGUGCUGCAUGGUUGUCGUCAGCUCGUGCCGUGAGGUGUCGGGUUAAGUCCCAUAACGAGCGCAACCCUUAUCGUUAGUUACCAGCGGAUAAUGCCGGGGACUCUAUCGAAACUGCCGGUGUAAACCGUGAGGAAGGUGGGGAUGACGUCAAAUCAGCACGGCCCUUAUGUCCAGGGCUACACACGUGUUACAAUGGCCAGUACAAAGGGCAGCUACCUGGUGACAGGAUGCUAAUCUCGAAAUCUGGUCUCAGUUCGGAUUGAAGUCUGCAACUCGACUUUAUGAAGGUGGAAUCGCUAGUAAUCGCGCAUCAGCAACGGCGCGGUGAAUACGUUCCCGGGCCUUGUACACACCGCCCGUCAAGCCAUGGAAGCCGGGGGUACCUAAAGACUGUAACCGUAAGGAGCGGUCUAGGGUAAAACUGGUGACUGGGGCUAAGUCGUAACAAGGUA
rnacentral:rRNA from 1 species